rnacentral:RNase_P_RNA from 1 species
UCAAGAAUCCACCCUUCUCUUCACGGGGAUUGAUGUGUUCAUCCAUCAGGCAUAUGAGAAAUUCGGAGUAAUCUCUUCACCAACCAACCCACAUGGUCGGGCUCUGCUCGUCCUGGGUCUGCCCGCAAGGGUCUGGCGUCACCGUGCGUCUGCAACUGGCACCAGAAAAGCAGGUAUGGAGAUUGAAGGAUGGGAUUCUCUUCGGAGGGUUCCGUCCUUCUUCACUUCAUCUACCUAUGGGAGGGCCGUUGCGAAGAUUGUGUUUGAAAACACUGGAGUGCGAUACGCAGCGUGCUGGACAUUCCCACCCUCUUCUCUUUCCGAGGAGGGGGAGGGACUAGUACAAUUCGAUUCCGAUUAUUCUGUUGA